rnacentral:tRNA from 1 species
GGAGAGUUGUCCGAGUGGUUUAUGGUGACAGUCUUGAAAACUGUUGUACGGCAACGUACCGGGGGUUCGAAUCCCUCACUCUCCG